rnacentral:rRNA from 1 species
UACGUAGGGUCCGAGCGUUAAUCGGAAUUACUGGGCGUAAAGCGUGCGCAGGCGGUCUUGUAAGCCAGAUGUGAAAGCCCCGGGCUCAACCUGGGAACUGCAUUUGGGACUGCAAGGCUGGAGUACGGCAGAGGGAGGUGGAAUUCCACGUGUAGCAGUGAAAUGCGUAGAGAUGUGGAGGGACACCGAUGGCGAAGGCAGCCUCCUGGGCUAGUACUGACGCUCAUGCACAAAAGCGUGGGGAGCAAACAGG